GACGAACGCUGGCGGCGUGCUUAACACAUGCAAGUCGUACGGUAAGGCCCUUUCGGGGGUUCACGAGUGGCGAACGGGUGAGUAACACGUGAGUAACCUGCCCACAACUUUGGGAUAACGCUAGGAAACUGGUGCUAAUACUGGAUAUGUGCUCCUGCUGCAUGGUGGGGGUUGGAAAGCUCCGGCGGUUGUGGAUGGACUCGCGGCCUAUCAGCUUGUUGGUGGGGUAGUGGCCUACCAAGGCGGCGACGGGUAGCCGGCCUGAGAGGGUGACCGGCCACAUUGGGACUGAGAUACGGCCCAGACUCCUACGGGGGGCAGCAGUGGGGAAUAUUGCACAAUGGGCGCAAGCCUGAUGCAGCAACGCCGCGUGCGGGAUGACGGCCUUCGGGUUGUAAACCGCUUUCAGCAGGGACGAAGCUUUUUGUGACGGUACCUGCAGAAGAAGCACCGGCUAACUACGUG
rnacentral:rRNA from 1 species